rnacentral:lncRNA from 1 species
GCAUAUAGAGGUUCCCAGGCUAGGGGUCUAAUCGGAGCUGUAGCUGCCAGCCUAUACCACAGCCACAGCAACACAAGAUCUGAGCCACAUCUGUGACUACACCACAGCUCACAGCAACACUGUAUCCUAAACCCAGUGAGCAAGGCCAGGGAUCGAACCUGCGUCCUCAUGGAUACUAGUCAGAUUUGUUUCCACUGAGCCACAAUGGGAACUCUGCCUCUGGUAUUUUUCAAGAUGACCUUCAAUAUUACCAAGUCAAAGGCCAAUACGUUCUUGUCAUGUUCACCCUCAGUGCUAUAUUUGCCAUCUCCCUUCACUUAAAACACCCUCCCUCCUUUUAUUUCCGCUAAAGUCUUUAGUUCCAUCUCCACCAUGCUGUCCUCUUUCUCAUCUCAUUCCUUAAAUGCUAGAAUUCCCUAGGGCUUGGUCAGCAGCUUGUAGCUUUUUGCCCUCUUUUUGCCCUCCCCAGGCUACGCCAUUCACGCAAAUGCAUUUAUCCAACACACAUCUGCUGGCCAUUCUGAAACUUCCACUCUUUGCUCUGGUCUAAAGUGUUUCCAAGUUUAGGGACAUAAAUGUAUUUCAUGUACAGUAGUAAGGGAAAUAAUAGUCCUUUUAAAGAACACAUUUAAUAGAUUUUGCACUAUAGUAUAUUUUAUGCUUCAAAUAGAAGUUGGACUAGUACAUAUAGGAUUGUUCUCAUUAUAGCCAACUGGGAAUAAUAUACUCAGAUACAAUCACAUAACAAAAACUCAAAGAUGUGUAUUUUCACAUUUGAUUUUAUUGCUGCUUAUGUAGUAGAUUUUACAUUUCAAUAAAACUGUAAAGUAAAACUGUAAGUAAAAGCAAAAGAAAUAAAAUACAAUAAAAAUACUCCAAACCAUAAGCAAAUGUUUGCAAUAUCAUUUGAAAAGAGUCAUUGUGACAAGUGCUGUGAAUAGCUGAUUAUUUCACUGAUCCCAUAAUCUCACAUAAGGGAUAAUCUGACAUUUUAAAUUACCUACUGAAAUUUUAAAAUGAUAAUAGAAAAUAUAACUUUAAGUUUUGUUGCUGUUGCUCUCGUGGAUGUCAAAAAUCAUCAGAAAAUUCAAAUAAUAAUGUACAGACACUCACUUGACAAACGGUUAAAAGAAAACAAAGGAAGACCUGACAUGGAGAUGGGACAAUCAGAGAAUGAACGAAGACGACGAUAGAUUCCCCCUUGGUGUAAUUUGACUUCACAUUGCUCCUUCUUUGAUAUGGGUGUGGCUUUCCUUUUUGGGGGCUUGUGCCAUUCACAGAGUCCUAGAUGUGAGUCAGUACACUAGUUCAAAACUGGGCUCUGGCACGUAGACUUCGUGUGAAUCCCGGUCAGUCAUUUUUUUCUCUCUGAGCCUCAUCUUGUCCAUCUGUGAAGAAGUAACCACAACGAGAUCGUUGUGGGCCUUUGCAUGUGGCAGCAGUAGCCUUUUGUCAAGCACAAUACUCUCAAUAUCCAUUGAAUUGUUUGCAAUAAUAACUGAGACUUCAGACUUUAAAACAUUCUUAAUGGAAAGGAAAUAGAGACAAACACUGGAUUUUAUUAUUUACUUUUCCAUGCACCAAAUGGCUGAUCCUGAGUAAGUCACUACAACUCUCUGAAUCUGAGUUUCCUCUGCCUUAAAAUGAAAAGUACAGAUGAGAUGAAUUUUCCACUCUGAUUCUAAAAUCCUAAAACCACUUAGGCGAGAUACUUUCUAAGACAUCACUGUGGUCUUUUUAUUUACUGAGCUUCUUCAUAUAUAACUAAUUUAAAAAAUGUUUUGGGAAACAUUUGGAAGUCAAUAUUAAACUUAACAGACUAUUUUGAAAUCUUAAAAUGAAAACUAAAAGAUAGCAUGAUUUUUCUUUUGCUUUUCACAAGUUUCUUUUGGAAGUAAGUGUGUAAGUAAUGAAUAAAACAUCUAACUGCAUAUGUGUGCAGAUGCAAAUAAAAUUAGGCAUUUCGUAGCGGAUUGGAGCAAGAAUUCCUAUUCUAAAUCCCUCUCUUCACUUAUGCUACUGCUCAGAAAAAGCAGCCAGAGAGAGGCGUUUCGCAUCCACAGCCAGUCAAAAGCGACUAUGCCUUCUGUGGGUGGGAAGGCAGAAAUGACAUCUUUCAAAGUGGGAAACUUUACAACCAGGUAUUUGAGAUCUGAGACAAUCUGGGGAGGUCUCUUAAGAAUUGACCAAACUCUCAGAACCAUCCUUGAGGCAUCUGGGGAUUACCAGGAAAAUCCAGAGUGCUUCUAGCUGCAGAAAACAUUUUUUCCUACCAAGAAGAAUGACUCACCUAUUGUCACCUUGGGAGAUAGCACAGAACAACCAGAGCAAGUUGGGAAGUUUCCCAGGCCCUCACUACCCAGAAUGAGAUGAGAUGACAGAGUUAAUAUAAAUCAAAACAUAGUAUCUUUCCUUGCAACUGAUAAAUUCUAAGUAAUUUGUGUAGUCUGUGGGAAUCUAGGUUUGUGUCCCUGACAUCUACGCAUUUCUGGUGAACCUUAAUAUUAAUUGAGGGUUAAAUUCAAUGUAUUUAAAAUAUUUUAAAAUAAUUCAAAAAUAAAUCCCCAUCAUAUUUAUGGUUGUAAAUUUUAAAAAAUCUGGGACCAUAUGAUGUUGAAAGCAGCAGUUAAGAUAAAAUAGGCACCUAUAUACCUUUCAACAAUUCUAUAGGAGAAAUGUGUUAAAUCGUUUUAUUUUAUUAUUAUUAUUUUAAAUAAGGAAACAGACCUAAAACAGAGAAAAAGAAUUAGUGAUGGGGAGGAGGAAACCCAACAUCUAGUAUCUAGUUUUUUGUAGUUCGUGAGUUAUUGGCUAAUACCGUUGCACAGCAAAUUCGCUAAAGCUGGUGCCCACCAUAGCCUGUGCUUCUCAUUUUAAAACAAUCAUUUAUGGGUGUUAGAGGAUGCCUAGGAAAGCAGAAGGGUUCUGUGUCAAUCAAAGCUAAUCACUGGUACAGGCAGAGGGCUUUUGUUGGCCUCCAUGCUCUAAGCCGUGCUUCCACAUCUGUGUUUGAAGAGAUUAGAGAGGUGCUUCAUACAAGAACUGUAUUAGUGAAAGCUGAUCGACAGUAUUUGGAAUAAAUCAUGAAAAAGUUGAGUGCCAGAAGGGAAAGCAUGGAAAGUGGGAGACUGAAACUGACGAGGGCGAAAUCCACCCCCUCUCCCCCCUCCGCGCCGCCCUGCUCCAGCCCCUGCACAUUUGUAUUUCGGUUGUAUUUCGGUUUUGCCCGCUGGAGAGCAUUACUAGGUGCCCUGCUCACCACUUCCUAGCAAACACACAGCCAGCCGCUCAGCCAAGAAGCCCGACGCCAGGGUUUUCAGGGAAACGCUUGCCACACUUGGGUGAAGGGCUCCAGUUUUAUUGGAGGUGCUUCAUGGAAAACAGAUUAGCCCAAGUGGGUAAGUGGGAUUUGAGGACCUGGGAUGGCAAAGAAUGAAAAGUGAAAAAGAUCCCAGCAAAAAUGAACAUCCGUGCCCCCUCCUCGUUGAUGGCAGUGUUCUCUCUGCAUGAAGGCCAUACACUGGCAAAUAAAUUAUGAGUGACAAGUAUUUGAACCAAUAAAGAGGGCACUAUAUUUUAUAUGCAGUAAAUUUAAUUCCAGAUUGUGUUUCACCUCAGCAGGGUGACAUGUUUAUUGCCAGUGAAAGAUGGAAGCAGAGGGAGUUAGAGGCAAGCGUCAGCAGUUCUAGUGGGCACCCGCAAAAUGAAGAUUUGACAGACCGGUGGCUGAGCCCUUGAAAUGAAAUGCCAGAUCAAAUUUUACCCCAAAGGGGUCAGAUGUACUGUCGUGCCCCCAAACUCGCAAUACCAGCUGAAUAAAUGAGCCUGGUUCAGCAGAGAACAGGAGGCCAAGCGUGUGCUCAGUGGGUUCCUGCUCAUAGGCUUGUCAGAUCGGCCAAGUGCAAGGAGGACCAGAGGGAGGUGUGUCUGAGGAAGGAGACGCUAGGAGGAUGUGAAGUGCUGCCGCCUCUGUGGGGCUCUAAGUGUCGUUUUAAAAAUCUAUUAAACAGAUCGAAAAGUAGAAGUGAGUCUAAAUUGAUCUGCCCGUCUCUCAAUUUCAUCCUACAAGCGCUCAGCUCAGGUGUUCAAUUUAUUGAACCAUAACCCCUUUUUAAACAAUCAACAUCAACACGCAAUAAAUAUGCUCAGCAAGGGCAAUAUUUACAUGCGCGACUCAUUGUUUUCCAAGAUUUAUUUAUGGCGAAACUGACUGGCAAUUACCUCGGACUUCCUUUGGCAGACGGUGGCACAGUGGCAUGUGGGCGUCGUUCUGGUUAUUGCAAAAAUUAAGCACAUUGAAAGAGGUGAGCCCAGCUUGUCCCUAAGAAAUGGGCAUCAUACUCUAAUUGCAGAGGUGGGGAAGAAUUUUUGUUAUAAUGUGCAUAUGGCUUCUUCCUCUCAGAGAAAAAGAAAGAGGGAUGAGUGAGGGAGAGAGAGAGAGCAAGAGAAUGAAAGUUAAAAAAGGAAGGAAGGAUGGAAGGAAGGAAGGGAGGGAGGUGGGGAGGGAGGAGGAAAGGGAGGGAAAAGGAAAAGUUGCUGGUCUCAGGAAAGCAUGUCCUCCGAAAAGAGUAUAUGCAAAAAUUCCUAUAAUGAUGUUGAUAAUUCAUGUAUAAUGAAAGCCAGUCUUUGCUCUCUGCACUUAGGAAAUAGGUUCUGUUAUCCAAUAUAUAGAUUGGGCUAGCCACACACUUUGGAACUCAUUUGUGUAGACACAGUGUCAUCAACUCUUGAAUCAAUCAAAAGGGUUAACAUUUUAAUCAGUUCCUUUCACUGACCCUGCCCUGCAGGACUAUUGGUAGAAACUUCCAUGUAUUUAACUUCACACAAAUGUAUUUUAAGAAUGUUUCUCAUAAUUCAAUGAAAUUGAGAUGGAAAAUGAUGUAAAAUUUCUGGACCCUGUAAAGUUACUUGGUGCAACUUUUCUCAACUUUAUACAUCUUUUCCAUUCACUGAUGUUACAGAGAAGAUAUAUUCUGGUGCCUGGAUGUGAGAUGAAGGAUCUACAUAAUGUUACUAGCACUCCAUAAUUGAUAUUUGGAGCUUUAUAGGGCCUACUUCUUUCCUGUAAGAAGGAACUCACAUUUGGUGAAUAGAGCUCUGGAGCAGAAGGAACAGAACCUGGCAUUCUCCUGGUGACACCUGGAGAGAUAUAAGAACACCUGUGAUGUAAAUAAGAACCUACCAUAAAUAGUGAUUGUCUCUGUUACUCACUUACUCCUUACCGGUGUUGUGAGGGUGACUGCUGGUUGCAAUGUGUGCAAAUUUUUUGUUAAGAUCUUAGAUAAGAGUUGCUGUGUGAAAGACUUUGUCAUACACAGAUGAAAGGCUUAGCAGUCACUGUGGCUGAGACCACGGUCCCGUACUGUUUCCUGAUCAACCAUUUAACUCCAGUCAUUCAUUCCCAUUUGUUACCUUCUCCCACGAAACAGAGAAUUGAAAGGAUUUUAAGCUCACAUCCUCUGUGGAGCUCCACGUGUUCCAGAGGCCCCUCUUUCAUUACAUCAGCUACACCGCCUCCUCUCAGGUUCCAUAUGCCCUGACCUUCCCUAUCUUUAUGUUCCCUGCUGUUCCCUCCAUUUCUCUCACCAGCCUCCUUUGUCUGCUCUUUUCAGACCUCUCCUGUGAGCUGCUCUUGGAACAGAGUCUCAUUUGUCUGGCAUAUGCCCUUCCUCUUGGCCAAAGAGCUCCUGAAGGCUCCACAGGAUUUCAAAGCCAUAUAGCAAGAGUUCCUGCCAAAUUAAUCUAUUCAGUUUGUUUCUUUUUUGGCAGAUCGUUAUUGGUCUUAUUUACAAUUCCUUAUAAGUUGUUGAGGUAAAAAAAAUCGUAUAAUGAGGUAGGAGGUUUAGUAGGUGCCAUAUAUUAAAUAUAUUAAUAUUUAAAAAUAAAAUAUUAAUAAUGUUAGAAGAGAAAAAAAUAUUUAACUUGACAAUGGUCAAAUGCAUUAUCAUCACUUAAUGUACAAGACUUCCAACACAUUUUAAGGAUAGAAUAAACCCAUUUAACAUCAUGUACACACGAUAAAUCUUUUACUCCUAUCUCUCUGUGUUUCUUUUCUGUUUCAUGCUUCCCAGAAGCUGUUUCCUUUGGGUCUCCCCUAUAAAAUUAAGUUUAAACUCCUUAUGUUUAAAGCUCUGGCCCUUCCAUCCCCACCAGCCUGACAUUGGGUGGAGGAUAUUAUCAGAUAUUCAGUUUCCUCCUGAAUAUUUGCCUUGCCAAGCUUUUUCAAAGAUAGUAAUAGGCACUUACAGUACUGACCACCAUGGCUAGCACAUGGUAGUUGCUCAAUAAAUGGUAUCCUGUUACUUAUUAUAAAAAAUGGCCCCUCUGCUUCUACC